GCGGAUGGCCGGAUGGUCGCGGCGCCCGCGUUCCGCGGGGGUCGAGGAAAGUCCGGACUCCACGAAGCAACGGUGCCGGGUAACGCCCGGGCGGGGCAACCCGACGGAAAGCGCCACAGAAAACAGACCGCCCGCGUGCGGCCGUCCCACGGUCCGCAGCGGGUAAGGGUGAAACGGUGGAGUAAGAGACCACCGCGGGCCCGGUAACGGGUCCGGCACGGCAAGCCCCACCGGGAGCAAUGCCGAAUAGGGAUCCCGCGGGCCUUCGCGCCCAGGGCAGCUUCGGCCCAGGGAUCCGGGUUGGCAGCUCGAGCCGCGCGGGCAACCGCGUGGCCAGAUGAAUGACCAUCGCCGUCCUUCGGGGCGGUACAGGAUCCGGCUUACAGGCCGUCCGCGCAC
rnacentral:RNase_P_RNA from 1 species